UUUUUUUGUAUUGGAACUCUAAAGAUAUGGGGAUAGCAACAGUGCUGAUUUCUGAAUGACAGGAAAUCUCCCACAGAUGUAAAGCACAUUCUCACUUGAUUACUGCUUUUAGAGAUUCUCUGUAAAAGACCAAGCAUCACUGUCUGAAAAUGAACCAAGUGAAAGAUUCCUAACUGCCUUGGGCAGAAAAAGCAACAUCAGCACCCCAUAGGCCAUCGCUAAUAAUGCCUUCAUUCAAUUAAAAAAAUCUGAGCACCUACUCUGUCUUGGGUUCAUUGUUCUAGGCAGAGGGCAGCAAUUUAGAAUAGGGUGGUCACUGCAGACCUCACUGAAAAAGUACCAUUUGAGGAAAGACUUGAAUUACGAAAGGAGUUCAUCCAGGGAUAAAUAAAAGAGUGUUUCCAAUGGUACCAAGGCCCUGUAGGAGGAAAAGCUUGGAUAACUCCAAGAAGAGCAAGCAGGCAAGGAUGGCUGGAGCAGAGGCACGAUGAGAGAGAAGAUGGGGUCGGCUCAGUCCUGUUUUCUUGGACAUGCUAAAUACCACACCUUUGAAUGAAGGAAACAGACAGUCACAAGAGCAUUCUGAACCAAGUGGACAAGCAGACUUAUGCUCUAGAAUCCCUUGUAUCUCAGAGAAGUCACCUGCUCAUCAAAAGUGAAUGACUAAGCAUUAUUUUAUCCCAUAUGGAAAGUUUUACCAAGAUGUAUUAAAGACAUCAAUAUAAGAUGGAAAACCAUAAACCUCCUGGACAGAAACACAGGCAGAAACACACUCAGUCUUGGUGAUGAUUUUUUUAGAUAUGACUCCAAAAACAAAGGCAAUAAAAGCAAAAAUAAGCCAGAGGGACUACUUCAAAAAGCUUCUGAAGAGCAAAGAAAACUAUCCAAAAAAAAAAAAAAAUGGAUGGAGAGAUGCCUGCCAGCCACCAUGCCAUGGGGAGAGACCCACACGGAGAGGCACUAACUUGCCAGCUGGAUAAGCGGCCACCUUGAAAGUGGGUCCCCCCCACCCUUCUCAAGGCGUCCUUCGGCAGAAGCUCUGGCCAACAUCCCACUGCCAACCUCCUGGUGGCAAACAACAUCAUAAGUAUCCUGCAUCUAGAAUUUUUCAACCAAGCUCGUCCUAAAUUUCCAGUCCACAGAAGGCAGGAGAACAAACAUGUCUGCAUUGUUUGAAGCUACUAGGUUUGGGGGCUACUCAACACUCAGGAGUAUAUAACUGCGAUGUUUUCUAACAUCCGAACAGUCUAGGGAGCAACGGUGAGCUACUGUUUACAGCAUUCAUUUCCACCGAACAUGCUUUAAAGUUUCUGAACUCAACCCACAAACCAGUAUUAAGAUCACAACCAGAUAAAACCGUAUUGGGAAGUUACAAAAACUUAUACAGGAAACUUGCACUUGACUGAAAUACCAAAACUGAAAAGUCCUGACUUGGAGUGACACUGAAUGCUGGAGGAAACACGGACUUUGGAGCCAGAAAAAAAAUGAGUAUGAAUAGUGGCUCUGCCACUGACCAGCUUGAGUCCAUUUCUUCAGCUAAUCAAACCUCAGGGCCUCGACCUGCAGAACCGAGAAAAGAAUGCUCAGCUUACCUGGUUGAGAAGAAUAAAUAAGAUAAGAUGUGCAAAUAAUUUUAUUCAACAAACAGCGGUUUCUCUUUUCCUAAAAUGAAUCUGGGUCAGGAUUGUUCUGAAAAGUCAAGACUCUAAAUAUAAUAAAUUAACAUGUGUGCACAAGUUUUAUUUGCUUGUCUCAUGGCUCCUAUUAACAAUAACAGCAGUCUUGUUUUAUGUCUAAUAUUAAGCUAAUCAAAACUCAGAGCAUUUAUAAUCAAUAAUUCAUUUGUUAUUGGCCCCUGCCAUGUCAUUUAAAUUUCGGAGAGGGGAGAUAUCUAAAUAAAUACUUUACAGAAUCAGAUCAGAAAAGAGCUUAACACCUAGUGCUCUCUUUUUAGUGAUUUCUACAAAGUAGAAUUGACAGACGGUGAGGUAUGUUUUACCCAGUUUAUUUAUCCUGUCUCUUUGAACACAUUUCAGAGAGGAUUUAAAAAUAAAGCAGAGGAGUUCCCAUUGUGGCUCAGCAGUAAUGAACCCGAUUAGGACCCAUGAGGGAUGUGGUUCAAUCCCUGGCCUCGCUCAGUGGGUUAAGGAUCCAGCAUUGCCGUGAGCGGUGGUGUAGGCUGCAGAUGUGGCUCGGAUCCCACCUUGCUGUGGCUGUGGCUCUGCGACCUACACCACAGCUCACGGCAACACAGGAUGCUUAGCCCACUGAGUGAGGCCAAGGAUCAAACCUGCAACCUCAUGGUGCCUAGUUGGAUUCGUUCCCACGGCACCAUGAUGGGAACUCCUAAAUUCUAUCUGUUUAAGACUAGGUUUUAUUUCCUCUUUCUUCUCUCAGAGCUCCAGGCACAGGGCAGGCCUCACAGGAGGAUGCGAUGGAUUAGCUGGCUUCUCCCUUUAAGGAAGAUUUCUCUUUAAAAUUCAUUCCAUAGGAUGGUUAAGUCAUGUUCCCUGAAACUGGCCUAGAACAGAUGUAACCCCUUUGGCAUUCUACUCACUGGCUUUGGGGCUUUCAAGGCGCUCAGGUGCCAAAUAGCCAAAGAUACAGCCCCAAGCAACUCAAACAAGCACACUACUUCAUCUGACUUGAAAAAGACACAAAUAAAAAUGACAGGCUAUAAAACACACGUAAACUUCCCACGGCUUUACAAUGCUCUGCUGGUAUAUGCCAGUUCACCGUCUACUGGUAAUGGCGCUUGGCAUGAAUACUUGAGAUGGGAAGGUGGUUUGAGGAAGGCGCCGAAUGCCAGUCUUCCACGUCCCUGCGUCUCAUGAUCGCAUCGCAUUAAGGACAGAUUUCAGUUUUUAAAUUGCUCUCACUUACACUCAAAGCAUCAACCUCAGAGCAGCCAUGGGGCUCUUUUAUUUAUGGGGCACAAAACC
rnacentral:lncRNA from 1 species